AUUACCAUCGGGGAAAAACAGUAUGUACACAGUUAAACAGGACUCAUUAUGACAAAAGAAUACAAGGAGUAAGACAAAACUACGCAGUCCAACAGAUCUCUCCUAUAUCUCAAAUUUUACAAAGGAAGUUAGAAUUGUGGGGAAUUGGAUUAAAAUAAUUACGUUUGCUUUUGCAUGGGACGAGUCGUCAGGUACAGGCAGCAAGACACACGAGGCACGACAUUUCGGCAAAAUGAACAGGCACUCAAGUCCGAGUUA